rnacentral:sRNA from 1 species
GUUACUUCAUACUUUGACCAGGGCUACAUCACACAGCCAGUUCUACAAUACAUAUAUCUCUGCCGAUCGAACAUCACUGCCAGCUGUUAUUAUUGUUAAACGACUCGCUGUAGCAACGACUUUUAAGCUGGCAACGCCGCUCUUCAUUCUCUCUGGGAGAGCAGUUGUCAUUGUAUCCCCUCGUGUUUUUGUUUAUGCUGACAGCGCCUAUGUAGCGAUUGAGUUGCGUUUUGCCGGCAAACUAGCUGUGUACGACAACAUAAAUUCGUUUGUCAGCAACAUCGUCAGUAAAUUGCUGAGAGUGAGCGCGAGAGCAAACGUUAACCCAAAUAAACUGUAAGAGUGUGUGAGCAAGCGAGCGUGCGAACGAAACUCAGCAACAACAGCAGCAGCAACAGCAAUUUCACCGCGGCAGCAACAGCAGCAGCCACAGCGACAACAGCAACAGUAACAAUAGCAGCAGCAACAACAAAACAAGUGAAAAGGCAAGAAACGGACAUAACGAACUGCAGUGCACGCAGCAACAUCUGCAGCAACAGCACCAGCGGCGA